rnacentral:lncRNA from 1 species
CACUACAAACUCAAGGGAUGGGGUCCGGGGGAAAGACAGUCUCAGGAAAAGAAGGGAGGCGCCGCCAGAGCAGUCUCAGGAAAAGAAGGGAGGCGCCGCCGGAGCACCUGUUCUUUCUUUCUCUCUCUCUCCGCCUGGGCACCCUCGACCGCUUCCUUUAAUGCCCGCCCGGGAACACAAGGCAGACCCUUCUCGCCGCGUAAGAGGUCAUGUGCGUGCCCGGAGUGGCCAAACAGCCGCCAACCGGGCCUGACUCUCCACUGUUGGGGUGAAUUUUACUCAGCGUUCAACCCAGACUGUCCCCGAAGCCUGAGGAAAACAGCCGCCGAGCGCGGAGAGAGCUGCUGUGUCACACGCGCUUCUCUCUUCCCCUCCGUCUCCCCUUGCUGGUCCUUCUCGCUUCCGCCACCACCCGCUUUCCUCCCUCCCUCCCUCCCAACAAAAAUAAAACCCAUCCGCUUGCCAGAGGUUCGACCCGGCGGCGCCAAACUCGCCGCAUCCCUUACCGUUAGCCGGGAAGGCGGGCAGAGGAGGAAUCUCCUCGAGGCUCUCGCACGCGCGCGCGCUCGCUCUCUCAGUCUCUUCCCUCCACUACUCUGAGGGACAACCGCCUCCCACUCAAGCCGCUGGGGAGAAAGGCGGGGCCGCUCGCGGCAAGCAGCUCGAGCGAACUGUGGCGGGGAGGCGGGGCCAAGAGAAGCGGAGGGAGGGAGAGAGAGAGAGAGAGAGGACAGUAGCCCCAGUUCUCUUCAACCGCCAAACUUCAUUCGCUCCUCCUCACAGACCCGAAUGGGAGGGGGGAGAAAGGAUUUCGCGAGCAGCCAAUCUGUGAGCCGAAGACCUGCGCGAGGGGCUUGGAGGGGUAGUAACCGGAGGUGGCAACUACAAUUGGGCCUCAGCGCCUUGCCUGGAGGGACGCGGGCCAAUCAGAAGGUCGAGUACACUGUAACGUUUCCUGCUUAGCCAACCAGGAGCGCCGGGCGAAACCGGUCCGCCAAUCCGGCCAACCACUGGACGCCCUUUUCAUGGGCCAUCCAGGCACGAACCGGUAUAUGACACCUCGACAGAAUGAUACGAGGGGGCGCAUGCGCAAGGAAGUGACUGACGGUCACGUUCUCGCUUGUCAUUGCUUCUAUUAUUCCCGCGCGCACCGGCUCCCCCGCCCCUUUCUUGCCUAUGUUAUUUCGGAGCUGGUCAGUAAGGGCUGUCAUAAGCUUCUUGCGAAAUUAGUGACAACUAGAAAUCUAAUCCAUCGUCAAGGAGCCGGCAUGGGCUGUGUAAUCAAAUCAAAUAUACAUUAAUACGGACGUUAUUUUUCCAUUCUGCGUGUUUCCCCAAAUUAUGUCGCUCUUAUCCAGAACGAGGAAGACAAACUGUGAGAGGAACACGAGGACAGGGAAGAGAUUGCCACAAAGGCUACUUGCAGUCUUCAUUGCACCUCCUUAGGAGCCCCGUAAUACUAACUACAGUAUAGAAGUUGCUGGCGAUAUCUGUGCAUCAUCUGCCUCAGAAGGCUUGCAUUGCACGUCCCAUCUCCUGCCAUGGUGUUCUGUGAUAUGCAUGAACUUCCAGCUUUGAAAGGAUGAUAGUCAGCUUCCAUCAGAGCGGAGUUGCUGGUGCAGAAUGGCUUGUCUUUUCCACCAAGAAAUGGAACAGACCGGGUGAAGAAUACAUUCUAGCAGUUCGGCAGCAGUUCACAUGGUAUCAAGGCAGCUGAUUCCCUUGUCCUCAAACCAGGAAAAGAUGCUUUGAAAUCAGCCUUUUCCUUGUGCCUGUACCAAAGUUGGCCUUUUCUGCAUAGGCAUGGUCUCUUCCCAUGUUGUCCAGUUCCCAAAAGCUGCUCUAGCUGCUCUUGGAAGUGUACAGUACAUCAGGGCUGGCCAAAAAAAAAAAGAUGCCUGAGGUACAGUGCAAAGGGCCAUAGAGAAGCCACUUAAAUAGGAAGUUGAAUCUUUAAAGGAGGGGACUGUGACCCCUUCUCUCCCAUUACACACCUGAGGGCAGCAGACUAAGUAUAUUUUAAGAUGCCUACGUUGUGUUGAAUAAGACAUACACUGCUUUCCUUCGUGAAGAGAGGGAAAUGGCUCAAGGUGCAGGAGGAGGAAGAAUAGCAGAGAUCCCACUACCUAAUGAUAGGACUUACCGUGCUCUGAAUCCAGACUAUAGCAUCCUUCCCCAAAUAGCCACCCUCUAGAUCCGUGUUGUCUUCUCAUGAGGUGCUCAAAUCCUUCUGGUCUGCCUCUCUGGGAUGGAAUUUGGAGGCACAGUUUUACAUCAGCCCUUCCUGGAGGAGAGAACUCAGAAGGUGAUGCAGAGGGAUUCCUAUUUAACACCCUGGCCACUGGCUUUUGGGCUCCCUCAGGGUUGUUUUGUCUCUCAUGUUAACUGGGAGAGGUUGUCCUGAGUUUUGGGUUUUGAUGUUGCCAGUAUGCAUACGAUAUCUAACUCUGUCUGUCCUUGCCAUUUAAAUCUAAAGGAAGCUGAUUUGGCUCUAGAUCAGUGUGUGGCAUCGGUAAUGGAUUGGAUGAGGGUGAAUAAACUGAAAGUUAACCCAGAUAAGACA